AGAGUUUGAUCAUGGCUCAGGACGAACGCUGGCGGCGUGCUUAACACAUGCAAGUCGAACGAGAAUCUACUGAAAGAGUUUUCGGAUAAUGGAUGUAGAGGAAAGUGGCGGACGGGUGAGUAACGCGUGAGGAACCUGCCUUGAAGAGGGGGACAACAGUUGGAAACGACUGCUAAUACCGCAUGACGCAUAGAGGUCGCAUGAUCUUUAUGCCAAAGAUUUAUCGCUUCAAGAUGGCCUCGCGUCUGAUUAGCUGGUUGGCGGGGUAACGGCCCACCAAGGCGACGAUCAGUAGCCGGACUGAGAGGUUGAACGGCCACAUUGGGACUGAGAUACGGCCCAGACUCCUACGGGAGGCAGCAGUGGGGAAUAUUGGGCAAUGGGCGCAAGCCUGACCCAGCAACGCCGCGUGAAGGAAGAAGGCUUUCGGGUUGUAAACUUCUUUUAAGAGGGAAGAGCAGAAGACGGUACCUCUAGAAUAAGCCACGGCUAACUACGUGCCAGCAGCCGCGGUAAUACGUAGGUGGCAAGCGUUGUCCGGAUUUACUGGGUGUAAAGGGCGUGCAGCCGGGUCUGCGAGUCAGAUGUGAAAUCCAUGGGCUCAACCCAUGAACUGCAUUUGAAACUGUAGAUCUUGAGUGUCGGAGGGGCAAUCGGAAUUCCUAGUGUAGCGGUGAAAUGCGUAGAUAUUAGGAGGAACACCAGUGGCGAAGGCGGAUUGCUGGACGAUAACUGACGGUGAGGCGCGAAAGUGUGGGGAGCAAACAGGAUUAGAUACCCUGGUAGUCCACACUGUAAACGAUGAAUACUAGGUGUGCGGGGACUGACCCCCUGCGUGCCGCAGUAAACACAAUAAGUAUUCCACCUGGGGAGUACGAUCGCAAGGUUGAAACUCAAAGGAAUUGACGGGGGCCCGCACAAGCGGUGGAUUAUGUGGUUUAAUUCGAAGCAACGCGAAGAACCUUACCUGCUCUUGACAUCUCCCUGACCGGCAAGUAAUGUUGCCUUUCCUUCGGGACAGGGAUGACAGGUGGUGCAUGGUUGUCGUCAGCUCGUGUCGUGAGAUGUUGGGUUAAGUCCCGCAACGAGCGCAACCCCUAUCUUUAGUAGCCAGCGGUUCGGCCGGGCACUCUAGAGAGACUGCCAGGGAUAACCUGGAGGAAGGUGGGGAUGACGUCAAAUCAUCAUGCCCCUUAUGAGCAGGGCUACACACGUGCUACAAUGGCGUAAACAAAGGGAGGCAGAACCGCGAGGUCGAGCAAAUCCCAAAAAUAACGUCUCAGUCCGGAUUGUAGUCUGCAACUCGACUACAUGAAGCUGGAAUCGCUAGUAAUCGCGAAUCAGAAUGUCGCGGUGAAUACGUUCCCGGGUCUUGUACACACCGCCCGUCACACCAUGGGAGUCAGUAACGCCCGAAGUCAGUGACCCAACCGUAAGGAGGGAGCUGCCGAAGGUGGGACCGAUAACUGGGGUGAAGUCGUAACAAGGUA
rnacentral:rRNA from 1 species